rnacentral:lncRNA from 1 species
AUAUUCAGUUUAACUGAAUUUCGUGGUAAAUAUCAUUUUUCUUGUAAUGACCAUUCACAUAUAAUACAUUUUAGAAAUUUCAUAAUACACUCCUUUCUUAUUCAUCUUGUUUUCGUUAGAUUUUGGGGGUAGAAGAAGGUAAACCUAUCUAAAACAAUGAAUUUUUAUUUUUGGGGGAGACGAGAUACCUCACUGGUUUGUUGUGUGCGGUGCGGUGUAUCUGAAGUUCGGGGAAGGCGAAAAGGGGAGAGGGAAUGGUAACAAUGGUGAAAGGUCAGAACCAAGAGAGAUGUCCUUCAAAAUGAGCUUCACGCCUGCAAAAUAGUAAAAUAAAGUUUAGAGGUGAAGCCAGGGUACCCUGGUGUUCACACUCUGACGCUCAAGUUAACAAACUCAAGCUUUUUGUGGUAAAGAGAGCUGGCCAGCCCUCUGUAAAUCAAGGUUUAAGUUUGAAAAAAACCUAUUUUUUCGGAGUGUGAGUGUUUGUGGGUGAAUGAGAUGAAGGACAACAUUUGUCCAUGAGGUUCCUAAAAUCGCAACUUUUGUGCAGUAAAAUUAAAACGGACGGCGGAAGCUCUAGAAACCUCGGAUCGGCUUCAUUCAAAAACGAAAAUCAAGAAGAAAGAUUGAAGUUUAAUUACCUCACUUGCAGUUUCGAAAACGACUUCGUGAGGUAGGAGAAAACGACUGAAAACAGCAAGCUACGAACACUGUCCAGAAAAUAGAGCUCUGCACGAACAGCUUCUGUUUUGCCACGAUCUGAGAUCCUUAAAGCACCCCAAUUGUGAUGCCUCUAAUUAGUCCACACUUAGAAAUGUUCUAGGAGUUCAGAGGAUUUGGAAUCUCGAAAUUUCGUUUAGAAAUGAGAGAGAUAAUGAAGAAACAUGAAUGCUAGUUCAUGAUGAUUC